GACGAACGCUGGCGGCGUGCCUAAUACAUGCAAGUAGAACGCACAGUUUAUACCGUAGCUUGCUACACCAUAGACUGUGAGUUGCGAACGGGUGAGUAACGCGUAGGUAACCUGCCUGGUAGCGGGGGAUAACUAUUGGAAACGAUAGCUAAUACCGCAUAAUAUUGAUUAUUGCAUGAUAAUUGAUUGAAAGAUGCUAUUGCAUCACUACCAGAUGGACCUGCGUUGUAUUAGCUAGUAGGCGAGGUAACGGCUCACCUAGGCGACGAUACAUAGCCGACCUGAGAGGGUGAUCGGCCACACUGGGACUGAGACACGGCCCAGACUCCUACGGGAGGCAGCAGUAGGGAAUCUUCGGCAAUGGACGAAAGUCUGACCGAGCAACGCCGCGUGAGUGAAGAAGGUUUUCGGAUCGUAAAGCUCUGUUGUAAGAGAAGAACGGGUGUGAGAGUGGAAAGUUCACACUGGGACGGUAUCUUACCAGAAAGGGACGGCUAACUACGUG
rnacentral:rRNA from 1 species